AUUUUGGACAAUGGGGGCAACCCUGAUCCAGCCAUCCCGCGUGUGCGAUGAAGGCCUUCGGGUUGUAAAGCACUUUUGGCAGGGAAGAAACGGCGCUGGUUAAUACCUGGCGCAACUGACGGUACCUGCAGAAUAAGCACCGGCUAACUACGUGCCAGCAGCCGCGGUAAUACGUAGGGUGCAAGCGUUAAUCGGAAUUACUGGGCGUAAAGGGUGCGUAGGCGGUUGGGCAAGAAAGGUGUGAAAUCCCAGGGCUUAACCUUGGAAUGGCACUUUUAACUGCCCGGCUAGAGUAUGUCAGAGGGGGGUAGAAUUCCACGUGUAGCAGUGAAAUGCGUAGAGAUGUGGAGGAAUACCGAUGGCGAAGGCAGCCCCCUGGGAUAAUACUGACGCUCAUGCACGAAAGCGUGGGGAGCAAACAGG
rnacentral:rRNA from 1 species